rnacentral:rRNA from 1 species
AUUGAACGCUGGCGGCAGGCCUAACACAUGCAAGUCGAACGAGAGGCGGAGGGGUGAGUAAUGUGUGGGAAACAGUGUGUUGGAGGGGGGUAAAACUUGGAAACGGUGUCUCAUAACGCACAACCUCAGAUUUGCGCAGAUGGGAUUGGCUAGUGGGUGGGGUAACGGCUCACCUAGGCGACGAUCCCUAGCCGGUCUGGGAGGAUGAGCAGCCACACUGGAACUGAGACACGGUCCAGACUCCUACGGGAGGCAGCAGUGGGGAAUAUUGCACAAUGGGCGAAAGCCUGAUGCAGCCAUGCCGCGUGUGUGAAGAAGGCCUUCGGGUUGUAAAGCACUUUCAGCGGGGAGGCGUUACCCGCAGAAGAAGCACCGGCUAACUCCGUGCCAGCAGCCGCGGUAAUAC